UUUCCCAGGGUCAAGGCCAGAGAGAACUAGACCUCCACAGAAGGGGUCUCCUGUGUCUGUGGGGAAACACAAACAGAUCCUGCCCUCUAGUACCAGGAAGCAACCAAAUCUACGUAAAAUCCCAUGCUGCGGGACUGCCCCCUGUUCAGUGAGACAGAGAUGGGGAUGUGCAUAGUCUGGUGUGCAGCAAUGUAUCUCUUGGGAGCAAGCCAAACCGAUGCUAAAAUAACCCAGACACCGAGUCUGGUGCUGGAGAGAGGACAGACUGCCUAUCUCAGAUGUCAGCAAACCUUCGGGCAUGAUAGCAUGUUCUGGUACCGGCAGGAUCCAGGGCAGGGACUGCAGCUGCUCUUUAACUUCUACUAUAAACAAGAAAGAGAGAAAGGCACAAAUUCUAGUCACUUCCAGGCCGAUCAGCCGCAGAAUGAUCUCUUUCGCUUAAACAUCUCAUCUGUGCAGCCAGAGCACUCGGCUGUGUAUUUCUGCGCCAGCAGCUUAGACACAGCACUUCAGAGUCACCUCCUCCCUCUACAAAAACCUCACCUGUUCCUUGUCACUCUGCAGCGCUACAACAGGGACGGCAACAAGGCACUUUCUCUUUGA